AGAAUUUUAUGGUGGAAGUUCACCCUACUGAACAUCCAGUCUAACCUGUAGGUUAUAUGGGCAUGGCCUAUAACUCCUUGUCUGACCAUUUAUCAAUAACUAAAGCAGAACAGCAUUGCAUUCACGAGGAAGCUGAGGCCCAGAGCGGUUAGUUGGUUUGGGCUGGGUGACCCAGUGCAUGGGGACCAAACCAGACUUACAGCCAGGCCUUGCAGCUCCCGGCGUGGUAGCAUGUCACGUCAACCAGGUCCUCCCGCCCACGGGACAAGGGUGGCUGGCCAGUUGCAGAGCCUGGAGGCCACUGCCUGAGAUGUGACUUCAUUUUGCAGUUUCAGGGGCUUCACCAUCAUUUCAGGGGAAGAAAUGCAACUUGAGUCUAAACUCUGGGUUUUUGUCCUCACAAUGAGGGUUUGCGCCCCCCACCCCAUUCGAGGCCUCGGGGUUCCUGGGUUCUGGGUCAGAAUGCUUGGCGGUUCUGGUUAGGCUUCUUGACUCGAUCUGCAUUUCUAAAGCACCCGCCCAGGAUCUGAGGUUUGGAGAGACUGCCGUCUAGCAGCUGUCAGCACACGUUGUGGGAAGGGUGGGUGCAGAGUGCCAGGGGUCAGAUGAAAGAGGUCAGUGCCGUCUGGGGAGAAAGCGGCAGUUCUCCUUGGAGGGCCCAUCCCCGCUCUU